rnacentral:rRNA from 1 species
GGUGAACGCUGGCGGUGGGCCUAAGACAUGCAAGUCGAACGGCAGGACGGUAUGAGCUUGGUGGUACGGGUGGGGAGGGGCGGACGGGUGUGGGAGACAUAGGAAUCUAAGUUGUCGAGGGGGAGGACGUAGGGGCACUUACGCUAUUAGCGCAUACGACCUACGGGUGAAAGCAGGGGAUCUUCGGACCUUGCGCGAUUGAAUGAGCCGAUGUCGGAUUAGCUAGUUGGCGGGGUAAAGGCGCACCAAGGCGACGAUCCGUAGCUGGUCGGAGAGGCUGAUCGGCAACAUGGGAAGUGAGAGACGGACCAGAACACUACGGGAGGCACUAGUGGGGAAUAUUGGACAAUGGGCGCAAGCCUGAGCGAGACCCACCGCGUGCGUGACCAAGGCGAUCGGGAUGUAAAGCCCUGUGGUUGCGCCAGAAACGCAGACGGUUACCACGCCGCUGUUAUGAAGGUAACCAAAGAAUAAGCACCGGCUAACUCCGUG